CCUGACUGCUAUCGGAUUGAUACUAAGCCAUGCGAGUCUUUGCAGUAAUGCAAGGCAUACGGCUCAGUAACACGUAGUCAACUUACCCUAUGGACGAGGAUAAUCUCGGGAAACUGAGCAUAAUACUCGAUAGAUCAUAAUGCCUGGAAUGGUUUAUGGUUGAAAUGAUUCGUCGCCAUAGGAUGGGACUGCGGCCUAUCAGCUUGUUGGUGAGGUAAUGGCCCACCAAGGCGAUUACAGGUACGGGCUCUGAGAGGAGAAGCCCGGAGAUGGGUACUGAGACAAGGACCCAGGCCCUAUGGGGCGCAGCAGGCGAGAAAACUUUGCAAUGUGCGAAAGCACGACAAGGUUAAUCCGAGUGAUUUCUGCUAAAGAAAUCUUUUGCAAGUCAUAAAACCACUAGUGAAUAAGGGGUGGGCAAGUCCUGGUGUCAGCCGCCGCGGUAAGACCAGCACCUCAAGUGGUCAGGAGGAUUAUUGGGCCUAAAGCAUCCGUAGCCGGCUCUGUAAGUUUUCGGUUAAAUCCAUGUGCUCAACGCAUGGGCUGCCGAAAAUACUGCAUAGCUAGGGAGUGGGAGAGGUAGACGGUACUCGGUAGGAAGGGGUAAAAUCCUUUGAUCUAUCGAUGACCACCUGUGGCGAAGGCGGUCUACCAGAACACGUUCGACGGUGAGGGAUGAAAGCUGGGGGAGCAAACCGGAUUAGAUACCCGGGUAGUCCCAGCCGUAAACGAUGCAGACUCGAUGAUGCAUUGGCAUAUAGCCAGUGCAGUGUCGCAGGGAAGCCGUUAAGUCUGCCGCCUGGGAAGUACGUACGCAAGUAUGAAACUUAAAGGAAUUGGCGGGGGAGCACCACAAGGGGUGAAGCCUGCGGUUC
rnacentral:rRNA from 1 species